UACGUAGGGUGCAAGCGUUGUCCGGAAUCAUUGGGCGUAAAGAGCGUGUAGGCGGCUUGGUAAGUCCGCUGUGAAAGUCCAGGGCUCAACCCUGGAAUGGCGGUGGAAACUGUCAAGCUUGAGUCCGGAAGAGGCGAGUGGAAUUCCUGGUGUAGCGGUGAAAUGCGCAGAUAUCAGGAGGAACACCAAUGGCGAAGGCAGCCCGCUGGGACGGUACUGACGCUGAGACGCGAAAGCGUGGGGAGCAAACAGG
rnacentral:rRNA from 1 species